rnacentral:rRNA from 1 species
UACGUAGGGUGCAAGCGUUAAUCGGAAUUACUGGGCGUAAAGCGUGCGCAGGCGGUUGUGCAAGACCGAUGUGAAAUCCCCGGGCUCAACCUGGGAAUGGCAUUGGUGACUGCACGGCUAGAGUGCGGAAGGGGCUACUGGAAUUCUCGGUGUAGCGGUGAAAUGCGUAGAUAUCGAGAGGAACACCUGCGGCGAAGGCGACUACCUGGCCUGUUUCUUGACGCUGAGGCGACGGAAAGCUAGGGGAGCAAACGGG